GCUGGGGCACCUUUUAAACACCUGAUCAUUUGUGGAAGUGGCAUAUCUCCUAGCAACAGUCACAAAUAGGUUUGGAAUCAAAUGCAGAAAAACGUUACCAAGCACCUCUACUCACCAGGUUCAAAGUCAACUCAAGCAUGAGAAAAUCUUCCCAUGACAGUGUAGGGUGAGACAUGACUGGUGCCUCCACUCAUACUUCAAUCAAGAACCUCAUCCAUUAAAGAAUGGGAUUUCCCGUGGGAAUCUGUGACAUCCA